AAAGAAAGCGUAAUAGCUCACUGGUCGAGUCGGCCUGCGCGGAAGAUGUAACGGGGCUAAACCAUGCACCGAAGCUGCGGCAGCGACACUCAGGUGUUGUUGGGUAGGGGAGCGUUCUGUAAGCCUGCGAAGGUGGCCUGUGAGGGUUGCUGGAGGUAUCAGAAGUGCGAAUGCUGACAUAAGUAACGAUAAAGCGGGUGAAAAGCCCGCUCGCCGGAAGACCAAGGGUUCCUGUCCAACGUUAAUCGGGGCAGGGUGAGUCGACCCCUAAGGC
rnacentral:rRNA from 1 species